GCGCACUUAGCUCAAUCGGUAAGAGCAUCACUCUUGAAAGUUGAGGUUGUGGGUUUGAUUCCCACAGUGCACA
rnacentral:tRNA from 1 species